rnacentral:rRNA from 1 species
AGCGAAUGCUGGCGGCAGGCCUAACACAUGCAUGUCGAACGGACCCUUCGGGGUUAGUGGCGGACGGGUGAGUAACACGUGGGAACGUGCCUUUUGGUUCGGAAUAGCUCCUGGAAACGGGUGGUAAUGCCGAAUGUGCCCUUUGGGGGAAAGAUUUAUCGCCAUUAGAGCGGCCCGCGUCUGAUUAGCUAGUUGGUGAGGUAAAGGCUCACCAAGGCGACGAUCAGUAGCUGGUCUGAGAGGAUGACCAGCCACAUUGGGACUGGGACACGGCCCAAACUCCUACGGGAGGCAGCAGUGGGGAAUCUUGCGCAAUGGGCGAAAGCCUGACGCAGCCAUGCCGCGUGAAUGAUGAAGGUCUUAGGAUUGUAAAAUUCUUUCACCGGGGACGAUAAUGGCGGUACCCGGAGAAGAAGCCCCGGCUAACUUCGUGCCAGCCGCCGCCGUAAAAC